rnacentral:misc_RNA from 1 species
AUUCACAGCUUCCUUCUCCAAUUUGGUGCAUUGUUCACUGUGAUCCAAAUCACAGAAUUCUGCCUUUACCUUUGCCUUGGCUGUUGAGCAGAUUUUCACCCAUUCCUCAAUGAAAUCACUUUUAGUGGACCCAUCAUCAGGAAUAGACAUAAGUCCUUUAAUACCUCCACAACAGCUGUGCCCAAUCACCAAAAUAUUCUCCACCUUCAAGUGGACAACUGCAUAUUCGACUGCUGCACCCACUCCAGAAUAUUUUGUCUGAUCGUAAGGUGGGACCAUAUUGGCGAUGUUACGGACAACAAAAGCUUCUCCUGGUUGGAAAUUGAGGAUG